UGGGGGAUAUUGCACAAUGGGCGAAAGCCUGAUGCAGCGACGCCGCGUGGGGGAUGAACGCCUUCGGGUUGUAAACUUCUUUUGCUCUGAACAAGGCGCACCAUGGGGUGUGUUGAGUGUAGGGGUUGAUUAGCGCCGGCUAACUACGUGCCAGCAGCCGCGGUAAUACGUAGGGCGCGAGCGUUGUCCGGAAUUAUUGGGCGUAAAGGGCUUGUAGGUGGCUGGUUGCGUCUGUCGUGAAAGCUCAUGGCUUAACUGUGGGUUUGCGGUGGGUACGGGCUGGCUUGAGUGCAGUAGGGGAGGCUGGAAUUCCUGGUGUAGCGGUGGAAUGCGCAGAUAUCAGGAGGAAUACCGGUGGCGAAGGCGGGUCUCUGGGCUGUUACUGACACUGAGGAGCGAAAGCAUGGGGAGCGAACAGG
rnacentral:rRNA from 1 species